rnacentral:piRNA from 1 species
UCUGGAAUCUCAGGCUCCCAAGAGUCUGG